GGUGAUGGAUUGCUAAUGCAACGGCGUAUGAGUGGUAAUUGGGUUGUAUUCGACGGCAGGCUCCGUGCUUCGGCAUCGAACUGUCGGCUCGUACACCGCGUCACUGAUGCAUCAAGAUUCGUCUUGUGCGCAAGAUGGGUUUCUGUUUUGUCUACCUAUUGUGAAGGAAUGCUGCCUCUCGUCGUCCCUUUCCUCCUCUUGCUGGCCUCGCCGGCGGGAGGACGACAUCGUAGCGGUACUCGUGUCCCGGACGACCCACACUCGUUGUGGUGCAGUUUCGGUCCUCGAGUUUUCGCUCGACAUCUCGGGUGCGGAACACUGAAGGGGGCGGUGGGUCUUUACGGCCUCCGAUCGUCCAAUCGAAGCCUUGUCGCUUGACGCGAACGACUGUCGCGCCCGUUGCGAGCCCUCGACCGUCAAGGUCGUC
rnacentral:misc_RNA from 1 species